GCGUAUGGUUUGGUUGUCGUUGUUAUGGAUCACGAUUACUCUUUGGCGAGUAUUGAAGUGCCAGUAAAACGUAAGCGUCCAUAUUCGGAUACACGCAGACUGUGUGACAAACGGAGGAAUAAAACCAGGAUAAAUAUCGGCCAGGCGUUUACGAGAUGGAGAGAGCUGCGCGAAAAUCUUGGACUUGACAGAGACUCUGCUCUCGCGAGUGUAUUGAUAGACAGGUAAGCAAAUCAAUUAUUUAUUUUGUUAUUGGACAAGUAACGUAAUAGUUACAGUAAAGAUGAUUUUAAUAGAUAUGAAUUACACCACAUGCCUGUACGAUCUGUCACUGUAGCAUUUUUUUUUUAUCAAUAACGUUACCUGUGAGAAAAUAACAUAACGUGGCAAAUGGACUGUUUCAGUUUCAAAAAAAGGUGGCCCAUCAACGUCAACUCCGAGUAAAAGACCUGUAAUGCCUCUUCAGACACUGUCUACCAUAGCUUCUUCCAAGAGCAUUGUUUUCUGGAGUCUGGAAUAGAACAACUUUCCAAGGCAGAAAGUGAUGAGCAGUUACAUGAAAGGAUUGAAUGGAGAAAUACUGAUGAUGCCACAAGGGACACAGACAGUGAAGACAGCACUUCAGAUGAUGAUUAUGUACCCUCCAUCUGUCUCAGAACUGGAAGAGUCAAAACGGACUUUGUGAAGAUUCAGGAGCUUCCAGUUCUUGGCAUUGAAGAGACC